AUGACAUCAUUGGCCAACCUCUUAGUAUCGCUUCUACUGAUUACCACCUUCUCUCUUGCACCCAUACGCUGCUAUGUUAAUCGAGCAGAUGUAAGGGUACAACACGGUGCCAAUAAUAAGUCUGUCCACCACACUUACAUUGUGCUCGUCGAGCCACCGCCCUCUCCCUCGCCCUCGAAUGUUGACGAAGACAUGUACCGUCAUUGGUACGAGUCUUUCUUGCCCAAAUCACGCGAUGGUGACUCGGGAAAGUCACCUCUUCUGCACUCCUACACCGAGGUGUUCAGCGGCUUCGCCGCAAAGCUCACUGAUCGGGAGCUCAAUGCAGUUGCGAAGAAUCCAGGGUUCGUGCGUGCGUUCAGGGACCAAACACGGUACCUCAUGACCACACACACUCCAAAGUUUCUUGGGCUCAGGAAGGGCACCGGCAUCUGGAGCGACGCGGACUAUGGGAAGGGAGUCAUCAUUGGGUUGCUUGAUAGUGGCAUCUAUGCGGAGCACCCUUCGUUUGAUGGUGAAAACAUCGCAACGCCACCAGCAAGGUGGAAGGGAUCAUGCAUGGCGACCCGGUGCAACAACAAGCUCAUCGGUGCACAGUCAUUCCUCGAAGAAGAUGAUGACCCUAGCAACCAACAGGGGCAUGGGACGCACACCUCAUCCACGGCAGCCGGUAACUUCGUCACCGGCGCGUCGUAUCAUGGUAUGGGAGCGGGCACCGCAUCAGGAGUUGCUCCUGGUGCCCACAUCGCCAUGUACAAGGUGUGCGCUGAUGGAGAAUGUAAUGAUUCCGCCAUAGUGUCCGGCCUCGACGCAGCCAUCAAGGAUGGGGUGGACGUGCUCUCACUCUCCAUUGGCCAUCUUGGCAGCCUCAGGUUCGAUAAAGACCCCAUCGCCAUCAGCACAUUCAGUGCCAUAUCAAAGGGCAUCGUCGUGGUUUCCACGGGUGGUAACGAAGGACCCGAUUCACAUUCAGUAAACAACGAUGCACCAUGGAUCCUCACAGUCGGUGCUAGCUCGGUGGAUCGAAGCUUCGACAUCGGCGUGAAUCUCAGCAAUGGCAAGUGCAUCCAUGGAGAAGGGCUUAGCCAGGUGGCAAAGCCGAGGUCAAAGAUGUACCCACUCCUCUACUCCGAAGAACGAGGCAAGUUUGACUACGUGGAUAACCAUGUUGUCAGUGAGAAGAUCGUCGUCUGUGAAACAGAUGCUACCCGGGAGAACAUCGACAACAUAAUGAGUGCCGGUGCGGUCGGCGUAGUGCUAUUGAACGGUGAAUCCAACGGAUACACGAUUGAGCUUGAGGAUUACAACUCCAGUGUGGUGCAGGUGAGCACGAACGAUGGCGCCAUCCUCAGAGCCUAUGCGACAUCGACAAACAGCUCGGCGGGUGCCAUUUUCUCGUGCCACAACACACUGCUUGGUGUCCAUCCGGCCCCUGUGGUGGCAUCGUUCUCUUCCCGAGGUCCAAGCAUCGACAUCCCCGGCGUGCUCAAACCAGACAUAUUGGCACCGGGGCUCAACAUCCUUGCCGCAUGGCCGCCGGGAACGGACUCCAUACUAGGCCCUUUCAACAUCUUGUCCGGCACAUCGAUGGCAACACCACACAUUAGUGGCGUCGCCGCGCUUAUCAAGAGCUUGCAUCCAGACUGGUCCCCGGCCGCCGUCAAGUCGGCCAUCUUGACGACAGCGGACGCUGUUAACAGCACUGGCGGCUCGAUCUUGGACGAGAAUCACAAGAAAGCCGAUGCGUACGCGAAAGGCGCAGGGCAUGUGAAUCCUGCGAGAGCCGCCGACCCUGGCCUGGUCUAUGACAUGGGUAUCAUCGACUAUGCUGGUUACAUUUGUUGGCUCCUCGGCGACGAAGGCCUGGCAACCUUCGUGCAAGACAAGAGAUUGACUUGCGCGAAGCUGCCCAAGGUCAAAGACGUGCAGCUCAACUACCCAACCAUAACUGUGCCGUUGAAGUCAACAACCUUCGUCGUGAACCGAACAGUGACAAAUGUAGGGCCGCCAGCAUCAACGUACACCGUGAAGUUGGACAUGCCCAAAUCGGUCACGGUACGUGUCGCACCGAACAAGCUGGUGUUCUCCAAGGCUGGGGAGAAGAAGACGUUCGCCGUGUCGGUGAGUGGCAAGGACGUUCAUGGACAAGGACAUGUGGAGGGAAGCUUGAGCUGGGUGUCGGCGAAGCAUGUAGUGCGGAGCCCGAUCAUCGCUGUUCCUAAUCUCCCCGAAUCUCCGCCGCCUCCCGAGAAUAUUUAG
rnacentral:rRNA from 1 species